CAAGUCCUCUGGGUAAAAACCAGCUGGCUCCUGGGCCAUCAUGUGAAAGUCUGAUGAGGUAAUUCUCAGGAUACAGAUGGACGUCUGUGCUCUGAAGUUUAAUCCUCUCACCCAAGAUCAAAGAGAAAAUGCAAACGCGUCUCCAUGAGGAAGAGCAAGGCUCCUGCAGGAUGGAGAUCAGAUGGAUCAGGGAUCCCACAGACAGAACCUUUUGCCUGAUAUGAGCACCCUUGGGAGAGACCUCUUCACACAAAUGUUCCUUGCAAGGAAAACACUCCUGCCUCACUUUCUUCAACCCAGCCAUGACCUUUCUUGGGACAGGGUCACACCAGGGUUACAGCAUCUGCCUCCCAGCCUCCCAGCUGGCCAGCCCUUCUGCAGUGGCUCAGCCGCAGACCCCUCCUGCACACCACAGCCAAAAACGAUUCUGCCAGGACUACAGCAUCCCGUGAAACUGACGCUUAAUGAUGCAGAACUCCACGUUUCCUGUCGUCAACUUGUCAUCAUUUUCCUUCCCAGAACCCCCAGCACCUCUGACACCGACCUGGAUCUCUACUCCAGAAACUCAAAACCCAUUUUUGCCACACCGUCACGCUAGCUCUCCUUUGCUCCCCUAAUCCAGGUCCCCGUUUCUCUGCACCUGUGCCCACCACCGGGAAUCUCUCCUGUUAAGUCGCCUCCUCCAUCCCGCCUUCUCCUGACCCCGUUGGCCCAUGCGUCUUUGAACUUUUGCAGAAUUUGCAUCUGUAACAAAUUACUUGCUAUUUAAUUAUGUUCUGUCAUAUUAUUCCUGUUGAAUUUGGCUGAGAACCAUGCGCUCCUUGAAAGCAGAAACUGUCUUUGUUGUUCUGUGUCCUGAUUCAACCCACUAGCCCCAGAGCACGUCUGCAGGAAAGGCCUUCUAAGCUCAGGUCAUCAAGCUCCUCCCAACUGCACUCUUUUACUUCUGUUUUUCCAAGUCGAUCUUUUUUUAAAAAAAAACAAAAAACUUAAAUGAAUUCAUUAUUAAAAAAACUUUUUAUCACCUCCAGAAAUGGAAAACUGUAUCAUUUGCCAUCAGUAGAAUUUGGCUGUAAAAGCAAAUUCCAUGUAAACAGAACAAUGCUGUUGGGUCCUACUUCCUCAGUCUGAGACCUGCUCUUUCUCCCGUGGUCAUGGAGACUCCAAGUUCUAAAGACAUACUAGGAACAGAGAGCAGCUUUUAUUGUAUCCAGAAGAAGAGAGACAGAAAAAAACAGAACCACCUGAAAAGUGAACAACUUCCUCACUCUGUGAUUGGCAGUUGUUGAAUCCAGUGAACAGGCACCACCAAAGAUCACCCUCAGCCCACACCUCAGGACCCUCUGGUACAGACUCCAAAAUCUACCACUUACUGUGUGAGUUCCAAGUAACAAACUCUGAGUAUUAUCUUAUUUAACUCACUCUGGGGUGAGUUCUCUAAGGAAGAACCCAUUAUUAUCCCGCUUUCCAGAUGAGGAAACUGAACAUAGCAGGAGAAAGAAGCUUGACCACAACCACACAGUAGUAAGUGACUAAGUCAGGACCCAGUGAGGAUAAACAGUCAUCCUAAGUUUUAUAAGACAGAAAAUUUAAUUACAGGGACUUCCUAGAUGGUAGAAGAGCCAAAACGUCAGACAAGGGACAUUGAGGCAACCCUGGUGUCCACAGCAUCAGGAAGUGGCUACCACCUCUCAGAUGCACAAGGAAGGAGGCAGUUAUCAGAGCCCAGGAAUCAGACUCACUGAAGGGAAGCUAGAACCAGGGUGGGUCUCUGUGGCAGGAGCUGGCUUGUAGAAGGAAAGAGCCUCCAGGCAAGACAGCCCAACAAACAGAGUCAAGAAGCCCACCCAGACUCCUGUACACACCCAUGUCCCUCCAGGCUUCCCAUUGGUCCAACCCAGUCAGAAGCCAGAGACACAGGAACCCGGGGCUCAUAGCCUGCAGAGGCCAGACCCCCCAUGAUACAGGGCAGAGCAGGGGUGGAUGGGAGGAGGGGGAUGCUUUGAGACCACCAGGCACAGGCUCACCCAGGUGGUCUUAUUCUGGGGUCUUUUCACUCACACAAACCAUGUUGUAGUUGACUAUUGGAUUUCAUGAGAUAAGAGUUCAUGUGUGUUCUUCCCCAUUCCAAGAAGAGGUGGGCUCUUCCUACUUCCUAGCUACCUG
rnacentral:lncRNA from 1 species